ACCUGGCCCCAGGCUUCCUCAAGGAGCACCACGUGGUCUUGGUGGUGUUAAACCCAGCACUCAUUUCCAGCACGUGGUGACCCCUUCCUUGCCUUGGUAAGUGUGGGGAAGAUAGAGGCCAUCACUGUCCUAGCCCACUGCAGGCUGAACCCACCCUAGAGAAGAUGUCAUGUGACACAGUCCUCCAGAAGAGAGUGAAGUCGGGUACUGAGAAUUCAGGUAUCAGAAGUAACAGAAGGAUGUGUUAUGGUUUGUGUCUGGGUGUCCCCCAGAAGCCUCAUACAGUCACGGGGUGGGCCUUUGGUAGACAGCUGAAUCUAGCAUUUGUGAUUGGUUCAUUGCCGAGGGCUGGGAGUGCUGUGCCUACCCUGCGCCCACCCUGCACACAGGGUAGGGAGGGAAAGAGGCUUGCUCUCUCUUUCUCCUUCCCUUUUUUUCCCUGUGGUGAGGACUUGGCUCGUGUCUGCGCUGACCCGUAUGGAGGGCCCUCAACCCUGUGGUCACUGAGCACUUGGAAGGUGGAAAGUGCAACUGAAAAACUGAAGUGUAAUUAUUUAAAAUCAUAGUUAACAGUGUCAUGGGCAGCUGGGGGGCUGCUGUGGUGGGCAGUGAGGAUCCAGUCCUCCCACUCAUGACUUUUCAUGUGUCCUAACAUUAUAUGCAAGUUGGAGCUAUUAUAAAGUGACCACCGGGUGCGGAGGUGCACUCCUGUAAUUCCAGGACUAGGGAGGCUGAGACAGGAGGAUUGCCACGAGUUUGAGGUCAUCCUGGGCUGCAUAGUGAGUUCAAGGCCAUCCUGGACUCAACUUCAAGACUCUGUCUCAAAAGCAAGCAAGCAAGCAAUUCCAUUAACCUUUGGGUGCACUUUCCCCUUGAAGUCAGUUUUGUCAUGGGUUAGGGACCCACACCUCCUUGCCAAAGGGAAAACUUUAUUAUGAGACCCACUCGAAGAAAAAUUUAAUUGUGCUCAAACUUUGAUUUUUAUAAGUUGUAUACAUCAUGCUUUUGUGGUCAUGUCUGCAAAACAAUGUCAACUUUGUCUACGAAGUGCGUAAUUAGAAUGUGUCACUUUAACCACGGUGAUGCACUUUAUGUUCAGCAUAUUUUGCUCCGUUAUAGGUGUGUCUAGAGGUCCCCCCAAAGCCUCACGCACUCAUAGAUGGGGCUUUUCCUCAGUGGCUGGAUCUCGGACGUGUGGUGCCGGAAUUAGCAGUGUGUGAGACUGAACGGCUCGUCUGGGCGUGGAUGAUGGAAGCUCACCCAGGGUGUGGGUGGCACCACGACAGGCUUGUGGCCUGAAUGAGUUAAAAGGGAGGGAGAAGGCAGGCUGCUGCUGCUUGCCCUGCCGCCUCCUGCCUGCCUGCCACGAACUGUUCCUCUGUCACCCCCUGCCACGCUGCCCUGCCUUGGAGCAGCCAACACUGAGCCCUCUACACACUGUGAGCUGAUGUAAGCCUUCCCUCCUGUCACUUGCAGGUGGCAGUAUUCUGUGCCAGCAAUGAAGAAGUAACUAAGCCACCACUGUGACAUAAUGUUAUGCUUUGUUUUAUGUUACUAGGCCUAAUUUUGAUCUGGCGUUGUUGAGAUUUCUCACUACCUAGUCCUUGCUGAGAAUUUGGUCCGGCUGGGUCCCAGCUAGGAUGUACUUCUCAUCGGUGACCCACCUGCCCCAGAAGCCAGUCUCUCUGGGAGAUGGAGGGACCUCUGUGCUCUUCAUCCUGCCUGGGAGCUGCCCCUGCUCCACAGUCCUCAUCAUGACAACAGCACCUGGUGAUCCCUGCAGGGAAGCCCAGGGUGGUGCCCCAGGGUCUGACUCACACUCCAGCCCUGUUGAGCUCCCUAGAAGCACUAUCAUGUUCCAGUGGGGCCCCAGAACAAUAUGGAGAUUCUAGGAGCAAGUCUCAGUGUGACCCUGGGGGUGGGCCCAAGUGCAGCUCUGAGCACAGGGCAGGAUCCUGGGGCCCCCACCGGUGGCCACGUGGCCUUAUCUGGUGUGAUGCGGAUGCCCUAGUGGGCAGGGAGGGGUGUCAGGAGUGGAGCAUCCAGUGUGGCCCAGGUGGUGUUUACAGCUGGAAAUGGGGUACAGGGAAGUUUCAAGAACAGGUAGCACAAGCAGCAGGCAAGGGGCUCCUCCUAGGGGCUCCCGUUGUGGCCCUGUGUGGCUCCAUCCUCACUCUGGGCCCCACUACCUGCACCCCAGCACCCUAGGAUCUUUUAUUUGAAUAUUCAUUCUUUCAUUCUCAAGUGUCUUCUAUAGUGUUCAAAAGUCAUGCUGUGGUCAGCGUUUGCCGUUGCUAAACUGCCAGGUACCCAGGAAGCCUAAGAAACCGUGCUCCAUCCCGAGCCUCUGCAUCAGGAGCACACAGGCCCGGGGGACCAGCCUGGAACCCUGCUCCUAAGCAAACCUGAGCCACCACCUCCUCCAGCCAGAGCCAGCCCUGCCGUGGGGCUUGUCAUCUUGGGGAGCCGCUUCCCAGCUGGAGCAUGGAGUCGUGGUGGUGUCUGCUCCGAAGGGAUUUUUGACUUCUAUGGAAAAUUUCAACAAAACCUGCAAAUACUAAGUUAAACCUUGAUGCUAAAACUGCCACAAAAGUGUUUAAAGAUGAUUGUUUAAAGGUCACUUUUAAGCAAAUAAAUACAUUAAAAAAUGUUCAACAGCGCUGGUCAUUUGAGAAAUGCAAAUGAAAACAACACUGAGAUUCUACCUCACCCCAGAAAGAAGGGCUAGUAUUAAGAAAUCAACCAAUAACAAAUGCUGGAGGGGAUGUGGGGUAAAAGGAGCCCUUCUCCACUGUUGGUGGGAGUGCAGAAUGGUGCAACCACUGUGGAAAUCAGUGUGGAGAUUCCUCAAAAAAAAAAAAAAUAGGACUAGAGGUCCCAUUCGACCCAGCUAUUCCCCUUCUGGUAUCUUCCCAAAAGAGCUGAAGACAUCAUAUCACAGCAAUAUGUGUGUACCCAUGUUUGUAACGGCACAGUUUAUAAUAGCCAGACCUUGGAAACAACCUAAAUGCCCAUCAACUGAGGAACAGAUAAAAAAGAUGUGGUAUUUCUAUAUAAUGAAAUACUAUCCAGCCAUAAAGAAUGAUAAAUCGGACACUUUUAUAGGUAAAUGGAUACACUUUGAGAAAAUACUUAUUCGUGAAAUAAAUAAGACAUGCAUGUGUAAACAUAUUGUUUCACGAGUGUGACAAGCAGAAAGAAAAAUCAUGUAUAUGUGUAUGUAUGUGUAUAUAAAAAAUAUUUGAGACAGUUAAAAAGAAAAGCAGCAUAGUGGCCUCCUGUGUCUUGCACGUGGCCUGUUCAGAAGCAAACUCAGCCCUUCUCUUCACUGAACACCCCUGUAGGUGCCCCCUUCCCUUCUACAGCUUGUCCCAGUCUCUGUCCCAAAGCAAAUGACCUCAGCCAAAGCAAGGACUCAGGCCACACCUGCCUUUGCUUUACCCCACUGUGACCAUUUCGAGUUGACUUUUGGAUGUCUUAAGAAAUUUCUGAUGUGCUGUAAGAUUUGGGAUUUUUUGCAUGUGGAUAUCCAGUUGUUCUGGUAUAUUUAUUGAGGGUACAAUCCUUUCUCUGUUUGAUGGCUUUUGCAUCUUUGCCAAAAAUCAAUUAUCUGUUACAUAGAUAUCUACUUUGGGUCUUUGUAUUGGUGCUUUGGUGGUUUGCCUAUUGUUAUGCAUUAAGAACUGGUGGUCAACUUACCCAGCUGGAUUACAUCAGCAUGGCAUUGAGCGAAGAUGCUCCACCUGAGGAAAGUUGUCAGGAUAAAUAGGUGGAGAAGAAGGAGGCAUUGUGGGUUCUCUUACGAGUUGCUGUCUGAGCUGUUGGUUCUCCUGGAGAAGCUCUGGUCCUCACAUCGAGCAUUGCUUCCUGGCUCCGGAGGGGAAGAAAUGUGCUGCUUGGUCUCCAGGAUGAACUCGUCACGCUGCUUCCUGGCAUGUACCCCACUGUGCUUGUCGUCGGAGGAGCUCGGGCCUCCAUGUCACUGAGGAUGGCUGUGGUGCUUUCAGGACAGCCCUGGUCUUUGUUGUGAGUGUGACUUCUCGGCUCCAGCGUAGAACCCUCAUCCCACUAGCACAGCUCCUUCAUCCUGCUGGCAUAGACUUUCUGGCUUCCACCGCUGACCCUUGGGUCUUCCCGACACAGAUCCGUAAAAGAGACUGGCAUGAGUCCUUCUUGUGGGCUCUGGACCUCCAACUGGACUCGUGGGAGGCAUUGUCCUGAGCUCUGGGAUUUUAUCUGGACUCAUGUGGGCCAUUGCUGUGGGAUUUAGGCCCUUGACUUAAUAAUCUAUGUCUUUGGUGUUGCAGAUAGAUUUCCUGCAUUUUCCUGUGUUAACUUCCGGUGACCAUUAUAAAAACAAUAUUAUAAACUCCAUGUCUUGAUCCUAACUGUUCUCUGUGUACAACCCUGACUACAACACCUAUCUUGAUAUCAGUGCUGUUUUUCACAACUGAGGUAACUUUGUGAUAAGUCGUGGAUUGGGGAGGGUUGGAGCUCUAAUUUUAUCCUUUAUCAAAGCUGUUUAGUCUAUUCUGAGUCUUUCCAUUUCUACAGAAAUGUAAGAAUCAAAAUGUUAAUCUUUAUGAAAAAUGAUAUUGACAGUUUGAUGAGAUUGUGUUCUCUAUCUUUAUUGUUUUCUUCUAUUUGUUUUAUUCUGUCUUUUAUUUCUAAUUUCUUAAGAAAAGAUAUGAGGAGAUUUCAUAACUUUUCUAGUAAAUGUACCUUGAAAAAAAUAAAGAUCAUGUUUAAUACCAA